GGGUAUUUAGCUCAGCGGCAUAAGCGCCUGCCUUGCAAGCAGGCAGUCGUGAGUUCAAUCCCCAGUACCGA
rnacentral:tRNA from 1 species